CCCUUAGAUGUUCUGGGCUGCACGCGCGCUACACUGACACGUUCAACGAGUUGUUGCCUGGGCCGAGAGGUCUGGGAAAUCUUUUGAAAUCGUGUCGUGAUAGGGAUAGAUUAUUGCAAUUAUUAAUCUUCAACGAGGAAUUCCUAGUAAACGCAAGUCAUCAGCUUGCAUUGAUUACGUCCCUGCCCUUUGUACACACCGCCCGUCGCACCUACCGAUUGAAUGGUCCGGUGAAAUCUUCGGAUCUGAGAGAUGUCUGAUUAAUUUCGGACGCCUUUUGGAAAAGUUGCUUAAACCUUACCAUUUAGAGGAAGGUGAAGUCGUAACA
rnacentral:rRNA from 1 species